AUCCAUUCCUAACUCAUAUUACUACUAUUAUGCAUAUUUCAUAAUCCUCCAUUCACAAGUCAUCUAAUAUCUCAAUGUUUGCUUUAGUCAGAUGGGAGCAAACAAUCGAAAAGGACUAAAAUAUGGGGCUUUUGGAGUUCAAGCAGAAGAUAAUGGCAAGGACAACAAAGAAGAUGCUAUUGUGAUAUGCGAACAACUCCUCAUAUUGAGAGGUAUGGACUAGAAUUUUAAUUUAUUUGGGUAUUGCCCAACAAAUAGAGUUAAAGAUCUCCUCUCUACUUGUUAUCUUUUUCUCUGCUUAAACUCUCUCAUCAUCCUUGUAUCUCUUCAUCACCAAAAACUUCAAAUCCUUCGAUUAAUCUCACAUAAUCUACUUGAAUACUA